rnacentral:rRNA from 1 species
AGAGUUUGAUCCUGGCUCAGGAUGAUCGCUGGCGGCGUGCUUAACACAUGCAAGUCGAACGAAGCGCGCGGAAGGAAGGCCUUCGGGCCGGAGAGCCGCGGGACUGAGUGGCGGACGGGUGAGUAACGCGUGGGCAACCUGCCCCGUACAGGGGGAUAACAGCCGGAAACGGCUGCUAAUACCGCAUAAGCGCACAGCGCCGCAUGGCGCGGUGUGAAAAGCUCCGGCGGUACGGGAGGGGCCCGCGUCUGAUUAGGCAGUUGGCGGGGCAGCGGCCCACCAAACCGACGAUCAGUAGCCGGCCUGAGAGGGCGGCCGGCCACAUUGGGACUGAGACACGGCCCAAACUCCUGCGGGAGGCAGCAGUGGGGAAUAUUGCACAAUGGGGGAAACCCUGAUGCAGCGACGCCGCGUGAGCGAAGAAGUAUUUCGGUAUGUAAAGCUCUAUCAGCAGGGAAGAAAAAAAUGACGGUACCUGAGUAAGAAGCACCGGCUAAAUACGUGCCAGCAGCCGCGGUAAUACGUAUGGUGCAAGCGUUAUCCGGAUUUACUGGGUGUAAAGGGAGCGUAGGCGGCGCGUUAAGUCUGAUGUGAAAACCCGAGGC